CUCCUGGCAGAGACCUGCAGACCUGUGGAGAGAGGAGCCCACUCUGGAGCAGGUUUCCUGGUAGGACUUGUGACCCCAAAGGGGACCCACACUGGAGCAGUUUAUGAAGAAUUGC